CCUACGGGUGGCAGCAGUGGGGAAUAUUGCACAAUGGGGGAAACCCUGAUGCAGCGACGCCGCGUGAGUGAAGAAGUAUUUCGGUACGUAAAGCUCUAUCAGCAGGGAAGAAAAUGACGGUACCUGACUAAGAAGCCCCGGCUAACUACGUGCCAGCAGCCGCGGUAAUACGUAGGGGGCAAGCGUUAUCCGGAUUUACUGGGUGUAACGGGAGCGUAGACGGCAGCGCAAGUCUGAAGUGAAAUCCCAUGGCUUAACCAUGGAACUGCUUUGGAAACUGUGCAGCUGGAGUGCAGGAGAGGUAAGCGGAAUUACUAGUGUAGGGGGGAAAUGCGGAGAUAUUAGGAGGAAAACCAGGGGCGAAGGCGGCUUACUGGACUGUAACUGACGUUGAGGUGCGAAAGCGGGGGGAGCAAACAGGAAUAGAUACCCUUGUAGUC
rnacentral:rRNA from 1 species